UACGGAGGGUGCGAGCGUUGUCCGGAUUUAUUGGGUUUAAAGGGUGCGUAGGUGGCUUAAUAAGUCAGUGGUGAAAUACAGCCGCUCAACGGUUGAGGUGCCAUUGAUACUGUAAAGCUUGAAAGAAUUGGAGGCUGCCGGAAUGGAUGGUGUAGCGGUGAAAUGCAUAGAUAUCAUCCAGAACACCGAUUGCGAAGGCAGGUGGCUACGAUUUAUUUGACACUGAGGCACGAAAGCAUGGGGAGCAAACAGGAUUAGAAACCCCAGUAGUCC
rnacentral:rRNA from 1 species